rnacentral:rRNA from 1 species
UACGUAGGGGGCAAGCGUUGUCCGGAGUUACUGGCGUAAAGACGCACGCAGGCGGUCUCUUAAGUUUGGAGUGACAGUUGGUGGCUUAACUGCCAAAGUGCUUCGAAAACUGAGAGACUUGAGGGCUUCAGAGGGACACGGAAUUCCGGGUGGAGUGGUGAAAUGCGUAGAGAUCCGGAGGAACACCAAAGGCGAAGGCAGUGUCCUGGGGAGUACCUGACGCUCAGGUGCGAAAGCCAGGGAGCGAACGGG